AAGAAGUCCAGGCCCUGCCAGAAAGCAAAGCAAAGCAAAUUCCCUACUGAAAAGACUUACAGCCUUUUUACAGCAGACAAAACAACUAGCCUGCCCUACCACUACAUUCAUCUGAAGCUCUCCUUCUGAAUCCUCUUGCCCUCUUCCCACUGGCUCACAAUUUGAAGCUUCUGCUUCUUUGUGCUGUUCAUACCGUCUUCUCUCUGGUGGUAAUCCUGCAUGCAACCUACACCAUUUAAAGCAGCAGGGACCUUGCUGGAUGGAGCAAAGCAGAAGUAUUAAUUAUGAUAGAAGUUCUUCCGUGGAUGGACACCACUUCCUGCUUUCAGCCCAUGAAGAGAGUACACUAAGGUAAUUGCAAUCA
rnacentral:lncRNA from 1 species